rnacentral:rRNA from 1 species
CGUGUAGGCGGUGUGGUAAGUCGGAUGUGAAAUCUCCAGGCUCAACCUGGAAACUGCAUUCGAAACUGCCAUGCUUGAGUACCGGAGAGGGAGACGGAAUUCCUGGUGUAGGGGUGAAAUCUGUAGAUAUCAGGAAGAACACCGGUGGCGAAGGCGGUCUCCUGGCCGGAUACUGACGCUGAGGCGCGAAAGCUAGGGGAGCAAAACA